rnacentral:tRNA from 1 species
GGAGAGGUGCCCGAGCGGUUUAAGGGAGCGGUUUCGAAAACCGUCGCGCCACUUUAUCGUGGCGCCCCGGGUUCGAAUCCCGGUCUCUCCU